rnacentral:rRNA from 1 species
UGGGGAAUUUUGGACAAUGGGGGAAACCCUGAUCCAGCCAUCCCGCGUGUGCGAUGAAGGCCUUCGGGUUGUAAAGCACUUUUGGCAGGAAAGAAACGUCAUGGGUUAAUACCCCGUGAAACUGACGGUACCUGCAGAAUAAGCACCGGCUAACUACGUGCCAGCAGCCGCGGUAAUACGUAGGGUGCAAGCGUUAAUCGGAAUUACUGGGCGUAAAGCGUGCGCAGGCGGUUCGGAAAGAAAGAUGUGAAAUCCCAGAGCUCAACUUAGGAACUGCAUUUUUAACUACCGGGCUAGAGUGUGUCAGAGGGAGGUGGAAUUCCGCGUGUAGCAGUGAAAUGCGUAGAUAUGCGGAGGAACACCGAUGGCGAAGGCAGCCUCCUGGGAUAACACUGACGCUCAUGCACGAAAGCGUGGGGAGCAAACAGU